ACCCAGGAUCCGUCACUCCUGCUCCAGCAACUAAAGCAGACUUACAAGAAAUUUUAGCAGUUUUUGCAUCCUCAUUCGAUGAAAAAUUAAGAAAUACGAGAUCUGAGUUCCUAGAGCUACACAACAAGGCUACAAAUUCUCUGGUGGAGAAGAUUAAGGACUCAACGAAAACGAAAUGGCGCAGGGAAGGAAACCAGUUGCAGUUUCAGUUCAACCAGCAAGUAUCAAGCUAAGUUAUCCUCAAGUUUUCCUGUUUAUUUCAAGGAUGUUCUGAAAAUCUUCUUCGCCAGCAUGGCUCUGCUUUAACCUUCACAUUGGGUGUAAAAAAUUUGAGUGGGGCGUGGUGACCCAUAGGUGCUCAAAUACACUGACAGGACCCAAAAGUGUGUUCAUUGGUGUUUUAUUUUGUAUUAGUGGUUAGUUUUAUGAAAUGAUGUUUGGGGAAGAAAUGAAAAUAUGUUAGUUUGAAUUAAUGACCAGGUGUGAAUUAGAACAUAUUUACUUUCUUUGCGUUGGGUGAUUUUCUGUGGCUUAUUCAGUUUGGGUGUUACGUAACAUAGGUGGGUUUCCCUAAUAGGACUAGUGGCGUGAUCUUUCAUUCACGUCAGUAGUGGCACCGGGGUAACAUUGCAUUUGUUAAUAAAAUUGGUAUGUUUUUUCGUAGAGAGAGAUUACAGUUUUAAUCUCCCGUGCCUUGGAGGAAAUUGGUGAAGGGUUCACAGUGAGGCCUACCUUACAGGAGGUGUCCAAUCUGAUUGAUAGCAGACAGAAGUUAAUUCGCAUCGCUGACACCAGCCCAUAUGGAUGGGUUACUGUUUCAGAGUACGAGGCCCACGAGGUUGCCGAUGACGAGAACGACGACAAUAAGAUCACCAGGGCCGAAAACAGAGCUGGGCGUAAAGUCAAGCAGAAGAAGAUGGCUGCAUCAGAGCAGGCAAAGAAGUUCAAGCGUGACCAAGGGUCAGUGGUUGAUAGUAAUGAUGGUGGUAGUCAGUCUUUUCGUCAACCUAGUCAAGUCCUUCCCUUUGGUCAAACCUACGGCAGACCUUACGCAGACGGAUCAUGCUUCAUAUGCGGCAGUUACGCCCACUGGAAGGCCACAUGUCCUAAACGUAGAGCAGCCAGUGCAGCCUCCACCCCCUCUGCUACAAAAUCAUGUUAAGUCGACCACUACACCUGCUCCUGAACUGGAGGGAAAAUGAUGAUGGAAACCACUCACGAUGCAGUACACGGAAAGACAAUGAAUGUAGAAAAAUUUAACUUUUGGACAAGAGAGAACUUCAGGGAUAUCUUCAAAAAAGAGGUCUGCCUGUAACUGGCAUAAAGGCGGAACUUGUUGCAUUGGCCUUUGCUCGUUGGACUAUGAAGGCUCCAGUUCAGCCUUCUAAUGAUGAGCGCCACACAAUCAGGGUGAAAGAGUACAACAUUUUGCUCACUUUAGAGGGAGUGCAGUUGCCUGAUCCACUGUGUGACCUUUUUGGGUGGUUGGGAGAGUCCGAGGUGGCCAUUGCCAUGAUCUCAGAUAUCAGUGACUUCCUUGCCUGGCACGACACUGAUGUGGAUAAGACGAGCCUUGGGGAAAGACUCCUUUGUGAUUACAAAAGGAAACUAUGCCCAAAAUGUACUGAUCCAGCAACCACCGUUGAGGGACAAAAGCAAGCUGGACCAACACUAGAAGAAAUUGAGCAGAAAUUAAGUGGUGCAGUAAGUUUAGGGCAUAUUCACUGGUACCCUUGGGACUUCUCUGGACACCUUAGGAACAAGUCGACUGGUAGCUCUAUUCAUCUGCCAAGAGUGACUAGGUUAGGCACCUGUUUGGUUGGUGCUGUGCCCUGAUGCCUGAUAUGCCAUCUUCACCAGUGGUCACAGGUGUGUUCUCUUGGUGGUCUUCUCAUCAUUGAGGUCAUCUGAGGGCACCUACUGGUACAUGGAAACUCCAAUGGCUAACAACAGCAAGGCUUUCAUUUCAUUGCAUGUUGAGAAAAGGUACCUGUGUUUGAUGGUUUGCACCGGAAACAGUACCCUGUGGACACUUGCCUGACCUGCAUGAUCUGCAUGAUCUGAAUAUCUGCUCAUUGUAUGGCACCAUAAGGACAGGCCCGUCAAGUCAGAUCAGUUGCUGCUCUCUGUUGCGGCCUGAACAUGAGUUUCUUGUCAAAGGCAAAAUCUUGGAUGGGAACACAAGUACAUGUACUGGGUGGAAAUCAAGAAACUGUUUCUACAAACCCUGUCGGAUACUGCCAAGGUGCUCAGAGCUGGAUCGCAUGUCCAAAGGAAUUAAGAUGAAAGUGGACUGCAUCAUUCCAACGUUUACUCAUGAUAUGGAAAGGUAUGACCUCUACACUGUGUUCCCAAUGGAUCAGUUAACUUAAGGCCUGUGAGGUGAGCUGAGUUGAAAGAGAAUGCUUGUUGCUUUUUCCAUUGCUGCAUUUCCAUCAGAUCAUGUAUAUGGACCUGUAAUAUACAUGUAACUGGUUUCUGUUAUAUUGCAUAACAUUCAAUUUUAUGCACUGUCUAAAGGGUAUAAAUCAAUCACAAUCUGGAGAAUUGUUUAAGAAAGCUAUUCAAGGUUAUUUUACCUGAGUAACUGUUGAAGUAAUUGUAAACUUGUCAAAAUAUUGUAAAGUAUUCUGUCUAAAUCUACCUUUGAAGCUGAGUUGAAGAGAAAGGAAGGUUGCUGCACCCAACACUGUUUUAAGGGGAGCAUAUUACGUACAUGUACAGUUGAACGCCGCUAUAACGAACACGACGGGGUCCACGCUAGAUGUUUGGUACAGUGGUCGUUCAGUAUAGCAAAUUUAACUGCAGAACCUUUCAUUGCCAUGUUGAAUAGCGCCCUCUCUUGUCUAACUGAAGUGCACCCUCUUGUGAUACUAUGGUUUGCUGUUUU
rnacentral:lncRNA from 1 species